rnacentral:rRNA from 1 species
CCUACGGGAGGCAGCAGUGGGGAAUAUUGGGCAAUGGGCGCAAGCCUGACCCAGCAACGCCGCGUGAAGGAAGAAGGCUUUCGGGUUGUAAACUUCUUUUCUGAGGGACGAAGAAAGUGACGGUACCUCAGGAAUAAGCCACGGCUAACUACGUGCCAGCAGCAGCGGUAAUACGUAGGUGGCAAUCGUUAUCCGGAUUGAUUGGGUGUAAAGGGCGGGUAGGCGGGAAAGCAAGUCAGGUGUGAAAACUCAGGGCUCAACCCUGAGCCUGCAUUGGAAACUGUUUUUCUUGAGUGCUGGAGAGGCAAUCGGAAUUCCGGGGGUAGCGGUGAAAUGCGUAGAUAUACGGAGGAACACCAGUGGCGAAGGCGGAUUGCUGGACAGUAACUGACGCUGAGGCGAGAAAGCGUGGGGAGCAAACAGGAUUAGAUACCCCAGUAGUC